UACGGGGGGGGCAAGCGUUGUUCGGAAUUACUGGGCGUAAAGGGCUCGUAGGUGGCCAACUAAGUCAGACGUGAAAUCCCCUCGGCUUAACCGGGGAACUGCGUCUGAUACUGGAUGGCUUGAGGUUGGGAGAGGGAUGCGGAAUUCCAGGUGUAGCGGUGAAAUGCGUAGAUAUCUGGAGGAACACCGGUGGCGAAGGCGGCAUCCUGGACCAAUUCUGACACUGAGGAGCGAAAGCCAGGGGAGCAAACGGG
rnacentral:rRNA from 1 species